UGCCAGCAGCCGCGGUAAUACGGAGGGGGCUAGCGUUGUUCGGAAUUACUGGGCGUAAAGCGCGCGUAGGCGGGCUGUUAAGUCGGGGGUGAAAUCCCGGGGCUCAACCCCGGAACUGCCCUCGAUACUGGCAGCCUAGAGAUCUGGAGAGGCGAGUGGAAUUCCGAGUGUAGAGGUGAAAUUCGUAGAUAUUCGGAGGAACACCAGUGGCGAAGGCGGCUUUCUGGACCGAUACUGACGCUGAGACGCGAAAGCGUGGGGAGCAAACAGGAUUAGAUA
rnacentral:rRNA from 1 species